rnacentral:rRNA from 1 species
UGUUUGAUCCUGGCCGAGGCCAUUGCUAUCGGUGUCCGAUUUAGCCAUGCGAGUUGUACGUCUAACGUAGCAAACCGCUCAGUAACACGUGGCCAAACUACCCUACGGAUCGGGAUAACCUCGGGAAACUGAGGCUAAUCCCGAAUAGUGCUCCCGAGCUGGAAUGCUGGGAGCGCCAAACGCUCCGGCGCCGUAGGAUGUGGCUGCGGCCGAUUAGGUAGAUGGUGGGGUAACGGCCCACCAUGCCGAUAAUCGGUACGGGUUGUGAGAGCAAGAGCCCGGAGACGGACUCUGAGACAAGAGUCCGGGCCCUACGGGGCGCAGCAGGCGCGAAACCUUUACACUGCACGCAAGUGCGAUAGGGGGACACCGAGUGCGAGGGCAUAGAGCCCUCGCUUUUCUGUACCGUAAGGCGGUACAGGAACAAGGGCUGGGCAAGACCGGUGCCAGCCGCCGCGGUAACACCGGCAGCCCAAGUGAUGGCCGAUCUUAUUGGGCCUAAAGCGUCCGUAGCUUGCCGAGUAAGUUCGUCGGGAAAUCUACUGGCUUAACCAGUAGGCGUCCGGCGAAAACUGCUCGGCUUGGGACCGGGAGACCAGAGGGGUACGUCCGGGGUAGGAGUGAAAUCCUGUAAUCCUGGACGGACCACCGGUGGCGAAAGCGCCUCUGGAGAACGGAUCCGACAGUGAGGGACGAAAGCUAGGGUCUCGAACCGGAUUAGAUACCCGGGUAGUCCUAGCUGUAAACGAUGCUCGCUAGGUGUGGCGCAGGCUACGAGCCUGCGCUGUGCCGUAGGGAAGCCGUGAAGCGAGCCGCCUGGGAAGUACGUCUGCAAGGAUGAAACUUAAAGGAAUUGGCGGGGGAGCACUACAACCGGAGGAGCCUGCGGUUUAAUUGGACUCAACGCCGGACAUCUCACCAGCUCCGACAGCAGUAAUGACGAUCAGGUUGAUGACCUUAUUCGACGCUGCUGAGAGGAGGUGCAUGGCCGCCGUCAGCUCGUACCGUGAGGCGUCCUGUUAAGUCAGGCAACGAGCGAGACCCA